rnacentral:rRNA from 1 species
GUCUACGGCCACGCCACCCUGAACAAGCCUGAUCCCGUCUGAUCUCGGAAGCUAAGCAGGGUCGGGCCUGGUUAGUACUUGGAUGGGAGACCCCCUAGGAAGACCGGGUGCUAUAGGCG